rnacentral:tRNA from 1 species
UACGUCUCGGCCCGGCUGGCCCGGCCGUUGGCGGUGGUCGCCGCGACGGCGCGCCGGUUCGCCGCCGGCGAGCGCAGC